rnacentral:lncRNA from 1 species
UCAGAUUGCUAAAAAAAGUCUCUUCUACAUGCUAUAGAAAGAUUUCUGAAAAUAAGAUGUAAAGAAAGAAUAGCUAAUAUUUUUAAAGACAUCCUGUGCUUCAGUCACCUACUUACACUGAAUUACUUUUGUUUAUGGGUAGCAUUGUGUGGCAGAUUAAAGAUGGCAGUAGAUAUUUUCACAUUUGUUUUAUGGAGAAGAUGGUUCUAAAUAUCUUCUCCUUUAAUCUGACUUGGCUUUAGUGAUUAGCUUAAUCAGCAGAAUGCAGUGGAAGUGAAAAAAAUGAGAUCUCUGAGGCUAAAAUAUAAAGUAUUUGCAUUUUUUCCUAGUUUUUCUGGAACACUGUCUCUGAGAGCCCUGAUCAACCAUGUAAGGAGGUAGAUUGCCCUCAGACCUGAAGAUGACAUGUGAAGGACCUCUAGAAAACCGUCCCAGCUGAGCCCUUUUUUCCAGCCUCCCUACCAAGGCAGAAAAGUGAAAGGUGAGAGGAUAAAAAGAAAAAUGAAUAAAGAGCUUAAAGAAAGAUAAUUCAAGGAAAGAAGAAUGGCAGACAGUUAAGAAGAGGAAGACCUGAGCUUUGGAACAUUCUGAACCAUAACAGUUCAGCUGCAACUGCAGCCACAGUUGUGUCAUACAGUGUUCCCAAGACAAAUCUUGCAGAUGCAAGAGAACCUUGUUAAAAUCAGGAAGACUCCAUUUCCCAGGACAGUCCUCAUUUCAUCUCGAUGACCAAUGAGAUAGAUGUUUCUGGGCAUCAGGAAACCGAGACAGGUGAGGCAGAGGACAUCUGUAAAUGGAGGGUGAAGCCAAUGAAGAGUCAUCUCGAAGGUGGCACAACUGGGAGGUGGCAGACUCUGUAUGGUUCCCAGGCUGCCUCUCUUGAGGAUGGUGUGUCACAGUAAGUAGGAUAAACACAAAAGUAAACAGGAAAGAAGUCAUAUGACUAAUAAAAAGCUCUCCAAAAUUUGUUUCUACAGGUACACAACUAUUUUGCAGUAAACACAUGAGUGGAAUUUUAUCCUAUUAUAAUUUCUUCUGUUUACAAAAUACAGUCUACAAGAUUAAGUAGUAGGCACAAAAAUAGCGCACUUUUACUGAUUUUAGGUUGAGAGAUUGCUUUAAUUCUAAAACACCCACAUUUUAAUUUAUAUAAACAAAAUCAUCAUAGGUUAAACAAAUGUAACAUUUUUCCAACCUAAUAUCUAGAUUAGAUAAAAAUCUUUUUUUUGGCAUGGGGGUUGCAAAAUUUAAAAAGAAAUGUGCUUAAUUAAUGUUUUAAAUAAGUUGUGGCUAAAAGUUUUAGUUGGUAUUCUUUAAAAUAGGAAUUUUAAGGAGGACCUUAUGAACCAAAAUUAUCACAAUUUGUGAUAAAUGUUUUAACUUUUCAUUCCAAACAUAUGAUUAUUCUAAAAAUUGGAAACAACCAGAGGGAGGUAAAUCAGAUCUAUCUUUGUAAGGACUCUUUCUGAAAAAGCACUAGUUCAUUCAGUAAAUUCAGUCUAAAAUGAAAUUAUUUUUAGCAAUGUUGGCCUGUAAAGCAUAAAGUUGAAUGAAUCUGUGAACUGACUGAACUAAAUUUUUUAAUGAAAUCAAUACCCCAUAUACAUUUUUCAACUGAAUACAUAAAAAUGAAUAAAGUGUAAUUUAAAUGAAAUACACACAAUGAAAUAAAAUGUAAAGUUCUUUCCAAACGUCAUUAAUUUAAAAUAAUUUUAGCUUAGAACAUUUUCAGGUAUCUCAAAAAAAUUGGUUUAUAUAAUGCCAUAUUUGGGGAUGAUAUAUUUCCUUAUGUUAUUUUAUGAAAACUGCCUAUAACUCUUCUUUCAAAGGGCACUAAAUGAAGAAAGGAGUCGACAAGGUGGUGUACAACUAUUAUUCUCCAAAUGCGAACACCCGCAAUCAACUCAUAUUCUUUUAUUUUUUUUUUGAGAUGGAGUCUGGCUCUGUUGCCCAGGCUGGAGUGCAGAACCAAGCACAUUAUAAGUACUCAGUAAACCUAAGUGAAUGAAAGAAUGAACAAAAGACAGAAAGAAGAUGAAAAUUCCUCCUUUCUCACUGAAACUUUCUAAAAUAGUUUAAAAGGAAGAGGCAUACAUCCUAAAGUUGCCAAAUUUAGCUAAAAAAAUACAGGAUGCCCGGUUUAAUUUGAAUUUCAGAUAAUCAACAAAUAAUUAUUUAGUGUACAUCCUAAAUGCUGCAAGAAUGAUAUAUAAAUUAUCCAUAUACAUAUUUAAAAUUCAAAUCUAACUGGGUAUUCUGUAUUUUAUCUGGUAACCCCAACACCACCAAAUCUACAUAAAAUAUUGCAAAACUUCCAGGAAGUUGUUAAAAUGUGGAGUGUAGACCUCGUGCUGUGAAAACUACAUAAGGAGCUGGUGCAAUCCAAGUAAUAAUGUAAAACAAAUAGAAUAAAGUAUACACAAAGAAAACUUCCAUUUUUACAUAAGCAAGUGGAUGACUAAGAAAACCAAGGGCUAAGGGGAAUGGUAUGUGGCCAAGGGAAAAGCUUGGAAGCAAUGUCAAGAAACCUGUGUCCCAAUCUCAGCUCUGUUGAGAAAUUUUAGGCAAAGAUGACAGAAUUAUCUCCUUUGAUCUUCGCUUUCUAUAGAGUAAAAUAACUGAAGAUUCUCUAUAUAUCGACAUGCUCUAUGAAUUUGUAGUUUUUUUAAGCUCAUCAUCAUUAAUCUAUAAAGCAUACGUUUCUAGAAGAGACAUAUUUAAUUGGUAUUGCGAUGGCAAUAAGCAUAGUUAUGUGACUAAACAAGAAAAAUAAUGUCACUGAAUGUAUGGUUAAGUGUAUUUUUAUUUUGGAUGAAUUUAAAAAGAGAUAUUGACUUUAUAACAAUUAGAAUUUCAUUAUAGUUAAUAUAUUAGUUAAUAUGCUAUAUAACAUAGUGAAUCCUGUUGGGAUUACCGGUAUAUAAUCAGACAUACCUCAUAUCCUAGAGUUUGAUGCCAUAAACAUAACACAAAAUAUAAUGAGUUUGCACUAAUCUUGUUUAAACAACAGGGGUCAUUUUUGCCUCUGUAAUACCUUUUAAGGGGUCAAGCAACAAAUAGAAACAACAAUACCAAAACAACAACAAAAUCCAAAGCUAUAUCCUAAAUUUCACAAGUAUGUUCUAGGUAUGAUGCUUAAACAAAAGGCAGUAGAAAAAUUUUUUGGAAAUAUCCCAUUUAAGUUUUUACUGCAUCUAAUCAAAAUGUCCUUAGACAUAGAUGAUUGAGGAAUGACAUUUGGACGUUAAGGAAAAGAUGAUGGUGUGGUGAAAUAUAAAAAUUUAAAAUGACAGAAUUAUCACCAAAAAAUUAUUGUAUAUUGAUUGGUCACCAAAGCAAAUUUAACUUUAUAACAGGCAUGGAACUGAAAACCAAAGGGAAUUAUUCUUGAGGAUCUGGCUAAGUGACAAACCUGAAAGUGACAAGGUUCUUGCUGGGCAGUUUUAAGAAAGUUACCUAACCUUUCUGAGAACUGGAGAGAUAGUUCCAAUAGCCUAGUGAACACUACAGGCUGGCUUACUCAAGCCCUAUGUUGCACUAGGGAGUCAGGCUAAGAAUGUGUUUGCCAGAUUCCCUUGCAGCUCGAGUUCUCCUGAGACCUGGCCUCUGCCAAAGAGAAACAGUCAGUCACAUAAAAUCUGAAACAGAAAAUGAGACAGAAGCUACAUUUCCACUAUUUCUGCUGCCAAGCACAGUUGCCAACACAUUUGUGGGGAUGAUUCUGAAGUGGUUUUUGAACCAUUCCUGAAAGCUCAGCCUAAAGCUUGCUCCCUGAAGGUUUGGAACGAUUUUAUAAGCACCUAAUUCCCUUAUUUAAAUUCCUGAAAGUUUGGAACGAUUUUAUAAGCACCUAAUUCCCUUCUUUAAAUCCCUUUCAGAAAAUAGGAAAUAGUUUCCAAAUUUCUGCAACUGAACUGUGACCAGUACAGAGAAGAUCUAACAUCUCCCUCAAUAUUUUUUUUAUUUUUUAUUUUUUUGAGACAGAGCUUCACUUUGUUGCCCAGGCUGGAGUGCAGUGGUGCAAUAUUGGCUCACUGCAAUGUCUGCCUCCCAGGUUCAAGCGAUUAUUGUGCUUCAGCCUCCUGAGUAGCUGGGAUUACUUAGUAGAGACGGGGUUUCACCAUGUUGUCCAGGCUGGUCUCGAACUCCUGAGCUUGGGUAAUCCACCAGUCUCGGCCUCCCAAAGUGCUAGGAUUACAGGAGUGAGCCACUGCUCCCCGGCCGUCCUCCUCAAUAUUAUUAAUGAAAAUUUUCUAUACUGACAUGUCUAGGCCAUUUCCUCUCCAAUGUAAAUUUUUCUUUAAAAAAAAAUCCAGGCCAGGUACGGUGACUCACACCUGCAGUCCCAGCACUUUGGGAGGCUAAGGUAGGAGGAUCACUUGAGCCCAGGAGUCUGAGACCAGCUUGGGCAACACGGCAAAAACCUGUCUCUACAAAAACUACAAAAAUUAGCUGGGUAUGGUGGUGUGCACCUGUAGUCCCAGCUACUCAGGAAGCUGAGGCAGGAGGAUUGCUGCAGCCCAGGAAUUAAGGAUGCGGUGAGCCAUGAUUGUGCCACUGCACUGCAGCCUGGGUGACUGGGUGAGACCCUGUCUCAAAAAUACAAACAAACAAACAACAACAAAAAAAAAACCCUAGUCAUUUGAAGCCCUUCACACAUUAAAUGCAGGUUGUAAUAACUGAUAAUAAAUGAGUAAGUGUUAAUAAUAAUUAAAAUGCUUCUCUCCAGAGAAGGAAUAAAGAUCUCCUGCAUUAGCUCCCACUAAUUAUAUUUGUACACUUACCUGCUACAGCUGCAUCCAGUUCAUCAUCAUCAAAGGAGUCCUGUGUGGCAAAGUCACUCAAAGGAGACAGUGGAUAAGAUGUAUUGAGAUUCAAGCCCAGCAUGAAGUUGUGUACCUUCCCAGCACGUCCUUCUCUGUUCUCCUUUUACCUACAGUGCGUGUAAGGGGUAUAUUCUCGACAGUGCCACUUGAUCUAUGCUCAGAUUUCCAGAUAUUUUUAAGUGGUGUUUAUGAAGAUAAAGGAUAAAACCAAAAUCUACAGGUGAGCUACCAAACAGUUUUCUUAAAAUGAAUGAAAGAUACUAACAUAAAUUAUCUUUUGACUUUCAAUAAUAUUGAAAAUUGUCAGUUGAAAUUCACCUUUUGGUGUCAAGAAUUUGUGCUUCCUGCAGAACAUAUUAAGAGAGCAGUUAUAAAAACUAAAAUAACAACCAGAAAUCCUUAAAACAAAGACAGCAGUAAAUUCUAGCAUAAUAACUAGUUAUCUUUCUUCUUUAUGUUUUUUAAAUGGUUACCCAGGCUGGCCUGCAGUGGCAUGAUCUCUGCUCAUUUCAACCUCUGCCUCUGGGCUCAAGCAACCGUUCCACCUUAGCCUCCUGAGUAGCUGGGAUUAUAGGCAUGGACCAUCAUGCUUGGCUAAUUUUUUUAAUUUUUUUUUUUUUUUUUUGGUAGAAAUGAAGUCUCACUCUAUUGCCUAGGCUGGUCUCAAACUCCUGGACUCAAGUGAUCAUCCUUCCUUGGCCUCCCAAAGAACUGGGAUUACUGGUGUGAGCCACAGUGCCCAGACUAGUUGUCUUUUUUCAAGUAAAAUGUGCGUGAAUGAGCAAGAGUUAGUAAUGGAAGGGUUAAUAAAUGCUUAAGGCAAUGGAUUGACAUUUAUUUUUUAAGUUUUUACUGGCAUGAUUAUACAUAAAAAAUUUGAUUAAAUGUUCACAAGCUAAUAUUAUUAGUUUCAUUUCAUGGCUAUCAUCAAUAGUAAUUUUGUUACACAGAGGUGUGGGAGAUGUUAAGAAAUGAUCUAUCCCAGGUGCCAUAUACAUUAGGUGUGUUUCUAGUCCUACAUUUAUUUUCUUUUCCUUCCUUA